UUCUAUACUCAGAGUGAGUUAAUUGCACCUACGGUACACGAACUUGCACGACGGGUACAUAUUCAUACAACAACUUGAAAGAUGAUGCAAAUAGGUCACAAAACUUGAGUUUUGGGUACAUUUAGAUACAAUUCCAUCUAUUGCCAUUAACACCCCGUUAACUCUGCCUACAUGGCAUGUAAAAAGGUGGUACUGGGCAUGCACUAUCUUAGCAAACAAUCACCAUGUCAACAAGAUGCAGUAAGCCAAGAUAAUAAGCGGUCUAUCUCCCCAUUGAACAACUGCGGCCAUCCGGUUGUUUGCUUGGCUCGUGUAUGUGAAGUAGCCAGCCUUGCAUAUGCAUUGUACUCCAAUUUCGUUUAAUCUCUCACCUGCUGACAAGUGGGUCGUGCAUAGAUGGUUCAAAGGAUAAAAAAAUCUAUCUCAACGAGUACAAAGUUCGAGUAGUAGUUUCGGAUUUGUUGGCCACGACACACGUAAAUGCGAUAUGGUCAGGUCUUGUGUACGAACCUUCGGGAAGCACUAUCUUCGGGAUGAACUAUCAUGUGCGUAGUGGUUAGCACUGAACGCCUUGAGAGAAAUUGUCUCAGGUUCGAAUUUUGGUCUCCUCCAUUUUUAGAAACAAUUAAUUUCUCCUCGUAGCUCACAGGUGGGACCUACCCCAAUGAACUGACGUAGAGCGUGGGCCCACUGUCAUGUUUGACAUGCCAUGUAGGCAGAGUUAACGGGGCUUUAACAGCAAUAGACGGAAAUGUACCUACAUGUACUCGAAAUUCAAGUUAUGUGACCAGUUUGUAUCAUUUUUCAAGUUGUUGUAUGAAUCCGUACCCGCUGUGCAAGUUCAUGUAUCAUAGGUGUAAUUAACUAAGCAAACCAAUUUCAAAUUCUGCCAGCAUAUAGACAAAUAGCUGCCAUCAGGAUUCCUGAAAUUUACGAGGACAUAUUGAAUUAGUGAGGAUUUCGGAAAUUUGUAGUCCAAGCAACUCAUAUUUUGAAGUUUUGUUGCUUACCUUCCCAUCCCAUUGUGUUGCUAUGCUCCUGAAGUUGCCUAAAUUUUGCUAUAUUGGGUUACCCACAAUAGUAUCAGCAGCGAUGUUUUGUUUUGUGACAACUACUCAAAUUUAUAAUCUAAAUAUAUAAGUUGCACGCCGUGCUGUUGCUGGCAGCUUCUGACGCCAUCUGAAUCUUUUCCGGUGAGCCACCUUGUUCUCUCUUCUCUCUCCAAUUUGUACAAGAUUGAGUACCUCCGCUGCAUCUACACGACCGUCAUCUUCUAAUGCGCAUUAGGCUAUCACCAGCAAGAAUCUGAGCCGCCGCCACUGUGCAGAAGCUCCCUGCUGUAGUCAGGAUAAAUUGUGGUGAUUUUGCAUAAUCUGUCCAGGGAGCUUUUCAAGACCAAAUGCUUCCUCAAUCAAGCUGUUUGGCAACAACAAUGCCAAGGUUCAGUUCGGCAAGGAAGCCCAACAACUUUUCACAAUGACCACUAUGACAAGUAUUCUGGCUUGGUAAAACAAGAAGAUUCUGACGGUGCGGACAGAUGUUAAUAAGGAGGUUAUCUGGUCCUCUCGACUACCAGCGAGGCCAAAAAGUGUAGAUAUAUGCCUAAGUGUAUGAUAUCAUGGCAUUCACACGCUUCACUCCAUCUAAUACAUCAAACAAAGUGUGGGAGCAGUGGCGGAGCUAGACGAAAACCAUUGGGGGGCGAAACGUAAAUGACAAAGAGCUGGGGGGGGGGGAGGAUAAUUUUCACCUCAUCCUGGCCCUUCAAAAAAAAAUUCUUCAGGGUUUUCUCCAAAGUUGGGGGGGCCACGGCCCCCCUCGGCCCCAACAUAGCUCCGCCGUUGUGUAGGAGGGUGAGAAGAUUAGUCCUCAAUUAGUUUCUUCCUUGUUUUAAUUUGGCUUAACCUCUAAUGCACGUGAAUUGUGAGGUAUUUGUUGUGCGGGCAUGAUGAGGUUCUAAAGCUUUGUACCAAAUUCCAGGUUUGUGUAUUAAUGAAAUUGGUGUAAAAUUAACAGUUAUCUUCUCUGAUUUUAGAAGGGUGGAGUUCAGGUUUGUGUAGUAAUGAUAGUCAAGUUAUUCCACCUCCUCUAUCGACAAUUGGUAUUUCAUCCUUGAAGGUGUUCCUUUAGAAGGGCAGAGUUGUAGAAACACCGGAUCCCCGAUGAAGAGUCAAGUUCAGUUUGCAACUUUUCUUUCAUUUAGUGAUAUAUUGAGCCUUAGAUUUGCAUCACAGGUGAGAUAUUGAACCCUACGUAUAGUUUAGUUUAGUUUAGAUGAAUGAUGUUAAUAUUUUGAUACAUUGUUUAAGUAAGGAUUAUCAUGAAUGCUAACUGAUGAAAUCUGUGCAUCCAAGAUGGCAUAAGAUCAGACUUCACUGUAUAUAAAUGAUUGUUGUUUGCAGAGGGUGAUCAUCACGCCACUGAGGAUAGUGUCGCCGUCGGUGCCGAGGCUGAUUGUCGACCGCCCGGAUCUGGGGGCGCCGCUCAGGCCAGGCGUCCGCACCAUGAUGCUGCCAUCUUCCUACGAGUCAUUGCUAGCUGGAGUUGAUCGGUAACUGGUUGAUUUGGCCAUUAAUCGCUUACCCUGAUCUCUCCAUUUCAUAUAGGUUAGCUUGGCUAGCGUCCGUCACAUGGUUUUUGGGGUCUUCUCUGCAUAUAUUCGCAAGACAAAUAGGCCUACUAUAGCAUAGUCAAAAUUGGUAGCACUAUCUAGAAAAGUUGUAUAUUUUUGGUGAAGUUCUCAAGUUGUGCAUUGUGGUAGUGUCCCUGCUUCAUCUAUAACAACAUCUGCACCUCACUGCCAAGUUGCUGGUGAGCCUCAUCCACGCUAAAGAUGAGGGCGUCAAUUGGGCCUUUUUCUCAGUUUGUUCAAAUUGCAAGUUUGACUGAUUCCCCCUCUAAUUUAGGUUGUGAGCCCCUUCGAUUAAUUCCUUGCUAUAACUCUGUAGUGACGGUAUCGAGUUUCAAGGAUUUUGGGUCCAACUCUGUAUGAAUACUGUUUCUUUGCCGCAAUUUGGUCGAUCCAAUCUAAAAAACGAGACCAGAGAGGCAAGCACCCCUCGGCAUAUUUUUAUAGGACAUACCUAGAUUUUUAUAUUAUAAUCAGAUGGACACACUGUUUGAAGUAGUCUUGCAGUAGAUAGUGUUAAGAUGUGCUAUAUGGGAUGAUAUGAACCAAAUAGCAAAAGCAUUGUUGUUGCCUAUGCUACUAAAACAAUAUGGAUACAACAUUAGCUAAAAGGCUAUUUUUAUAUUUAUUCAUCUUCAAAUCAUUCAUUUUUCUUUAACUUUUUAUUUGCUUCCUCAUUGCGUUCUUGAUUUUCAGGUAACAUAAUUGAUAUGUUUUAGCAUUCAAGGUGUAUGUUCACACAAAACUGUUUUUACAUGUCACAAUGUUUGUGAAUGGAGCAGCAACACAUUUUUUUACAUUUUAUGGGCAUAUGCCAAGAUCUCUUAUGCUCCUAAAAAGGAUCUGAUCUUGAUAUACAUGUCCUUGGCACUUUCAGAAGUAUGUAGACCAUCUCCCGGUACAUGUAGAAAUACCAAUUUCAGAAAUAUGUAAAGGGACCUUCUCUUGGUCCAUGUAAAUAGCACUUUCAGAUAUUGUAAAUGUGCAAAUAUACUUUAAAACACCUCAAUACGAUUAUAUGUUC